GACGAACGCUGGCGGCGUGCCUAAUACAUGCAAGUUGAGCGCUGAAGGUUGGUACUUGUACCAACUGGAUGAGCAGCGAACGGGUGAGUAACGCGUGGGGAAUCUGCCUUUGAGCGGGGGACAACAUUUGGAAACGAAUGCUAAUACCGCAUAAAAACUUUAAACACAAGUUUUAAGUUUGAAAGAUGCAAUUGCAUCACUCAAAGAUGAUCCCGCGUUGUAUUAGCUAGUUGGUGAGGUAAAGGCUCACCAAGGCGAUGAUACAUAGCCGACCUGAGAGGGUGAUCGGCCACAUUGGGACUGAGACACGGCCCAAACUCCUACGGGAGGCAGCAGUAGGGAAUCUUCGGCAAUGGACGAAAGUCUGACCGAGCAACGCCGCGUGAGUGAAGAAGGUUUUUCGG
rnacentral:rRNA from 1 species